AAGAGCUCAACCACAGGCCUUACAAGACUCAACCACAAGGCCUUACAAGACUCAACCACAGGCCUUACAAGACUCAACCACAGGCCUCACAAGACUCAACCACAGUGGUCCAGCGAGUGGACAACGUGACAGAAGAGAUGCAGAACUAUGGUGAAGGUCACAGCGGUGGAAACAGACUUGAAGAAGCUUGACGACCAGACAGGGGAGAAGGCCGACAACGCCAGCAGUGAUAUCUCAACCUUUAAGUCAGACAUCCAAACGCUUCAGAGCCAGCUAGACAAC